CCUAACAAACUCUCCCGGUUCCUCUUCCUAGCUUGCUGGGACAUGGUAUCCUCUGGCAAACAUUGUGAUUGAGUAUCAGGCCCCACCAUAUACAUUAAAGGUCGUACCGGGGAGAAGUCUGGCAUACAGCUAUCAGUUCCGUCUUAAUGGCAGAUGCAUUCCAAAAGAGCUCAAGUUCGUUGAACAGAUAACAGCAGGCGAAUUCAAGACCUUAAGCCCCGUUUUCGUUCAAAUACUAAGUACGGACUAUAGCACCUACUGCAUCUCUUACAUCGAGCGAGGG